UUUAUGGAGAGUUUGAUCCUGGCUCAGGAUGAACGCUGGCGGCGUGCCUAAUACAUGCAAGUCGAGCGAACGGACGAGAAGCUUGCUUCUCUGAUGUUAGCGGCGGACGGGUGAGUAACACGUGGAUAACCUACCUAUAAGACUGGGAUAACUUCGGGAAACCGGAGCUAAUACCGGAUAAUAUUUUGAACCGCAUGGUUCAAAAGUAAAAGACGGUCUUGCUGUCACUUAUAGAUGGAUCCGCGCUGCAUUAGCUAGUUGGUAAGGUAACGGCUUACCAAGGCAACGAUGCAUAGCCGACCUGAGAGGGUGAUCGGCCACACUGGAACUGAGACACGGUCCAGACUCCUACGGGAGGCAGCAGUAGGGAAUCUUCCGCAAUGGGCGAAAGCCUGACGGAGCAACGCCGCGUGAGUGAUGAAGGUCUUCGGAUCGUAAAACUCUGUUAUUAGGGAAGAACAUAUGUGUAAGUAACUGUGCACAUCUUGACGGUACCUAAUCAGAAAGCCACGGCUAACUACGUGCCAGCAGCCGCGGUAAUACGUAGGUGGCAAGCGUUAUCCGGAAUUAUUGGGCGUAAAGCGCGCGUAGGCGGUUUUUUAAGUCUGAUGUGAAAGCCCACGGCUCAACCGUGGAGGGUCAUUGGAAACUGGAAAACUUGAGUGCAGAAGAGGAAAGUGGAAUUCCAUGUGUAGCGGUGAAAUGCGCAGAGAUAUGGAGGAACACCAGUGGCGAAGGCGACUUUCUGGUCUGUAACUGACGCUGAUGUGCGAAAGCGUGGGGAUCAAACAGGAUUAGAUACCCUGGUAGUCCACGCCGUAAACGAUGAGUGCUAAGUGUUAGGGGGUUUCCGCCCCUUAGUGCUGCAGCUAACGCAUUAAGCACUCCGCCUGGGGAGUACGACCGCAAGGUUGAAACUCAAAGGAAUUGACGGGGACCCGCACAAGCGGUGGAGCAUGUGGUUUAAUUCGAAGCAACGCGAAGAACCUUACCAAAUCUUGACAUCCUUUGACAACUCUAGAGAUAGAGCCUUCCCCUUCGGGGGACAAAGUGACAGGUGGUGCAUGGUUGUCGUCAGCUCGUGUCGUGAGAUGUUGGGUUAAGUCCCGCAACGAGCGCAACCCUUAAGCUUAGUUGCCAUCAUUAAGUUGGGCACUCUAAGUUGACUGCCGGUGACAAACCGGAGGAAGGUGGGGAUGACGUCAAAUCAUCAUGCCCCUUAUGAUUUGGGCUACACACGUGCUACAAUGGACAAUACAAAGGGCAGCGAAACCGCGAGGUCAAGCAAAUCCCAUAAAGUUGUUCUCAGUUCGGAUUGUAGUCUGCAACUCGACUACAUGAAGCUGGAAUCGCUAGUAAUCGUAGAUCAGCAUGCUACGGUGAAUACGUUCCCGGGUCUUGUACACACCGCCCGUCACACCACGAGAGUUUGUAACACCCGAAGCCGGUGGAGUAACCUUUUAGGAGCUAGCCGUCGAAGGUGGGACAAAUGAUUGGGGUGAAGUCGUAACAAGGUAGCCGUAUCGGAAGGUGCGGCUGGAUCACCUCCUUUCU
rnacentral:rRNA from 1 species